rnacentral:rRNA from 1 species
GAUGAACGCUAGCUACAGGCUUAACACAUGCAAGUCGAGGGGAAACGACAUCGAAAGCUUGCUUUUGAUGGGCGUCGACCGGCGCACGGGUGAGUAACGCGUAUCCAACCUGCCCACCACUUGGGGAUAACCUUGCGAAAGUAAGACUAAUACCCAAUGAUAUCCCACGAAGACAUCUGAAUGGUAUUAAAGAUUUAUCGGUGAUGGAUGGGGAUGCGUCUGAUUAGCUUGUUGGCGGGGUAACGGCCCACCAAGGCAACGAUCAGUAGGGGUUCUGAGAGGAAGGUACCCCAUCUUGGAACUGAGACACGGUCCAAACUACUACGGGAGGCAGCAGUGAGGAAUAUUGGUCAAUGGGCGAGAGACUGAACCAGCCAAGUAGAGUGCAGGAAGACGGCCCUAUGGGUUGUAAACUGCUUUUAUAAGGGAAUAAAGUGGGUCACGUGUGACUUUUUGCAUGUACCUUAUGAAUAAGGACCGGCUAAUUCCGUG